rnacentral:rRNA from 1 species
UACAGAGGUCUCGAGCGUUAGGCGGAAUCACUGGGCUUAAAGCGUGUGUAGGCGGAUCGUUAAGUGCCUUGUGAAAUCCCACGGCUCAACCGUGGAACUGCUUGGCAUACUGGCGGUCUUGAGCAACCUAGGGGCGAGCGGAACAAAUGGUGGAGCGGUGAAAUGCGUAGAUAUCAGGAGGAACACCGGUGGCGAAGGCGGGUCUCUGGGCCGAUACUGACGCUGAGGAGCGAAAGCGUGGGUAGCAAACAGG